AACGAACGCUGGCGGCAUGCCUAACACAUGCAAGUCGAACGAGACCUUCGGGUCUAGUGGCGCACGGGUGCGUAACGCGUGGGAACCUGCCCUUAGGUUCGGAAUAACUCCCCGAAAGGGGUGCUAAUACCGGAUAAUGUCUUCGGACCAAAGAUUUAUCGCCUUUGGAUGGGCCCGCGUUGGAUUAGCUAGUUGGUAGGGUAAAAGCCUACCAAGGCGACGAUCCAUAGCUGGUCUGAGAGGAUGAUCAGCCACACUGGGACUGAGACACGGCCCAGACUCCUACGGGAGGCAGCAGUGGGGAAUAUUGGACAAUGGGCGAAAGCCUGAUCCAGCAAUGCCGCGUGAGUGAUGAAGGCCUUAGGGCUGUAAAGCUCUUUUACCCGGGAUGAUAAUGACAGUACCGGGAGAAUAAGCUCCGGCUAACUCCGU
rnacentral:rRNA from 1 species